rnacentral:rRNA from 1 species
GACGAACGCUGGCGGUGUGCUUCACACAUGCAAGUCGAACGGGGUAGCAAUACCCAGUGGCGGACGGGUGAGUAACGCGUGGGAAUCUGCCUCGAGAUGGGGGAUAACUGACCGAAAGGUUAGCUAAUACCGCAUAUGCCGAAAGGUGAAAGGAGUAAUCCGUCUUGAGAUGAGCCUGCGUCCGAUUAGCUAGUUGGUAAGGUAAAGGCUUACCAAGGCUAUGAUCGUAGCUGGUCUGAGAGGAUGAUCAGCACACUGGACUGAGACACGGCCAGACUCCUACGGAGG